GAACUGACCCCAAAUUCCACAGAAUCAGCCCCAAAAUCUCAAGAACUGACCCCAAAUUCCACAAAAUCAGCCCUAAAAUCUCAGGAAUUGACCCCAAACUCUCAGGAACUGAUCCCAAAUUCUGCAGAAUUGGCCCCAAGUUCUCAGGAACUGACCCCAGAUUCCACGGAUGCGGCCCCAAAUUCCACAGAUUCAACCCCAAAUUCCACGGCCUCGGCCCCAAACUCUCACAAACUGACCCCAAACUCUCAGGGCCGGACCCCAAAUUCUGCAGAAUCCACCCCAAAUUCUCCACCUGUGACCACAACGGAUCCGGGUUCAGGGUGGGACAGGGAUGGAGGGGGAUGGGUUGGGGUGGGGGUGGGGGCAGAGGGAGCCCCCCCCUCCCGCAUCGCCGCCCCCCCCACGAUGUCGGCGUCGACGGCGCUCCUUCAGAUUCUCCAGAAACGGUUAAAAAAUAAAUUACGGGUUUGUUUUUUUUUUUGUGUGUGUGUGUGGAUGUUUUCGUUUUUCCUCUCCCUUUCCCCUCCGCUUCGGGGCCGAGGCGCCGCUAGAACUCGUCGUGCCGCACCAGCGCCUCGCCGAAGUCGGUGGCCUGGCUGCCCACGAACAGGUCGUACUUGGCCACGAUCUCCUCCCGCGUCAGGCGACCGUCCUGGGAGACAGCG
ensembl:lncRNA